GAGUGCGGGCGCCGCUUCUCCCAGGGCAGCCACCUGGCGGCGCACCGGCGCGACCACGCCCCGGAGCGGCCCUUCGUCUGCCCGGACUGCGGGAAGGCCUUCCGCCACAAACCCUACCUGGCGGCCCACCGGCGCAUCCACACAGGCGAGAAGCCCUACGUCUGUCCCGACUGCGGCAAAGCCUUCAGCCAGAAGUCUAACCUGGUGUCCCACCGGCGCAUCCACACCGGAGAGCGCCCCUAUGCCUGCCCCGACUGCGACCGCAGCUUCAGCCAGAAGUCCAACCUCAUCACCCACCGCAAGAGCCACAUCCGGGACGGCGCCUUCUGCUGUGCCAUCUGCGGCCAGACCUUUGACGACGAGGAGAAGCUCCUGGCCCAUCAGAAGAAGCAUGAUGUCUGAGAGGGCAGGUUUGCUCAAUUUCAGUCCUGACUGUCCUGUGCCCUGGAAAAGUAGCAAUAGCAGCUCCACCCACCCCUUAGAGCCCUCCCCGCCGGAGGGGCCACCAGUGGACAGGAGGACCCUUUUCUGAUGUUAACGCCUUAAUGUCCCUGUCUUUAACUAUGAGUUCCUUCAGCUUGUUUUUUGGAAGUAGGUGUGGUACAGUCGUUAGUGAAUGAGCACCCAGGAGGAAAAGAGGACCAGCUGGAUACACCUGGGAGAACCUGCCGGCCUUGUUAGGCAGCACCUGGGCCUUUUCAAGUACUGGGCGGCAAAGCAGAGCUGCUCCAGCCUGUCUCGCCCCAUCCCCUCCCUCCUGCCCCUGCACAGGCACCUGGAUUUGGAGAGACCCAUCUACUGUUAGUGCUUUGUCCCCUUCCUCCCUCGACAUCAAUCCCCGGGGCCUCUCCCUACUGGUCUGACUUGCUUUAUCCAGCACCCUCCCAGCGCUUAGAACAUCCCCUGGCCGUCAGCUGCCCUGUGUCAGGGCUUUUGUUCGAACACCCCCAACCCUCCUUCCCUCCUUUCAGAACUCACCACGUGGGCAGAACUGCCCCACUGAUAAGGGAGGGUCAGCUGAUAGGAACCCAGGGUGAGUUUCCCCUUUGCCCUUUCUAGUGUGCGGAUGCCCAGCCUCUGCUUGAACACUUAGGUGACAGGGAGCCCCCCUACCUCCUGAGGCCCUGGUUCUACUGUAGGGUAAUUCUAAUUGUUAGAAAUUCUUCCUUAUAAUGAAUGAAGUCUGCUUCCUUGUAAUUUCUACUGUUGGGCCUUGUUUGUUCUCUGGAACUAAACACAACCACUUACCCUCCUUUUCGAACUAGAGAAUAAAGAUCUGGUUUUAGAACCAGUGGCUAAAAACUGUUCCUUUGUCCUGGGGAGCUGUGGGGUCAGAGGGAGCAGAAGUAGCUCUGCCCCGACAGGGUGGGGUUGGGUGACAGGCUGAGUGGUGCAACUUGUCAGGCGUCCCUGCACCUUCCUGCACUUCUUCCCCAGGGUGGGGCCGGACACUCGGCAAGUGGGGUAACCUCUCCAGGGGUCCAGCCUUCUGUGGGAUCAGGUGAGCUUUGCUGGGUGCCAGGUGUCCAGGGAAAAGGGCUGUUAGACUCUGUCCUGCAGUGCCUCUCUGGCUGGCCUGCGGUUCCCACAUCUGUUACUGCAUGCGCUUCCCUCUGCUGUUUUUUUUUAUACACAUUUGAGAGGUUUCUUUUUUCUUUUCUUUUUAUUUUUUUUUUUUGUCUGUGCCCACGUCGUAUGGAAGUUCCUGGGCCAGGGAUUGAAUCUGCUGCAGCUUUGACCUGUGCCAUAGCUGCAGCAAUGCUGGGUCUUUGACCCACUGUGCCAGGCCAGGGAUCGGAUUGAACCUGCACCUCAGCAGCAACCUGAGCCACCACAGACACAACACCAGAUACCUAACCCCCUGUGCUACAGUGGGAACUCCUUGAGUACCUAUAUUUGACAGGUAUCAAUGGGCCCUUUUCCUGUCUCAGUAAUUUCUGCAUAGAUCUCUAGCAUCUAACAGAGUCUAGCGCAACCAUGUGAGUGAAGCCAUGCAAAGAAGUUUACCUAAAUUAUCUCACAAUUGGAAUUCAUUAGGUAGUCUUAUUCUUUUACAGAGGAAAACAUUCGCACAAAGCCAUAUAACUGGUAAUCACCAGAGGUGAUUCAAACUUGGGUCUCUUUGACUAGAACCUGUGCUCUUGACCACUGCUGUGUGUUUAUUGGGGGAAUGCAGUGCUGCUGCUUUGGGUGAAGGUCAGUGUUAAAUGGCUGUGUGUGCUUGAUGUGAUAGGCACUGGGGAUUUACAAAAGUUAGGCCCAAUCUUAGCCUUGAGAGGCCUAAGUCUGGGAGGAGUUACACCAUAUACAAAUCAUGAGUAGAGUUGAGAGGUGGCUGAGGGGUGGUGGGGUUCCAGGUGUGUAGGAUGAUGCGUGCAGACAGCAUCAAAGCGUUAUACUGGGUUAGGGGGCCACUUCCAAACCUGUGUAGUUGAUGGCAAAUUAUCUCUCAGAGCCUGGGAACAUUGUCUCAAGAAAGACAAUUCCAACAUGUCUCUUUAGGAGUUCCUGUCAUGGCAGAGUGGAAAGGAACCCAACUAGGAACCAUGAGGUUGUGGGUUCGAUCCCUGGCCUCGCUCAGUGGAAGGAUCCUGCUGUGUUGCCAUGAGCUGUGAUGUAGGUCGCAGAUGAGGCUUGGAUCCUGCGUUGCUGUGGCUGUGGUGUAGGUUGGCAGCUGCAGCUCCGAUUCAACCCCUAACCUGGGAACUUCCAUAUGCUGCAGGUGCGGCCCUAAAAAGCAAAAAAAAACAGCAAAUAAAUAUGUCUUUUUUUUAGAAGAGCUCAGGGCUUGAAGGGCUUGGGAAGGGAGCAGUGCUUUUUGCCAGGUGACCAGGAAAGUAGCUAGAUGGCUGGGGAGGAUGGGCAG
rnacentral:lncRNA from 1 species